UUAAAUUGAAGAGUUUGAUCAUGGCUCAGAUUGAACGCUGGCGGCAGGCCUAACACAUGCAAGUCGAACGGUAACAGAAAGAAGCUUGCUUCUUUGCUGACGAGUGGCGGACGGGUGAGUAAUGUCUGGGAAACUGCCUGAUGGAGGGGGAUAACUACUGGAAACGGUAGCUAAUACCGCAUAACGUCGCAAGACCAAAGAGGGGGACCUUCGGGCCUCUUG
rnacentral:rRNA from 1 species